rnacentral:rRNA from 1 species
GUCUGUGGCCACACCACCCUGAAUGUGCCUGAUCUCCUCUGAUCUCAGAAGCUAAGCAGGGUCAGGCCUGGUUAGUACUUGGAUGGGAGAAAUAUUUAACUAAAUCUU